UACGUAGGGGGCAAGCGUUGUCCGGAUUUAUUGGGCGUAAAGCGCUCGCAGGCGGCCUGGCCAAGUCGUGCGUGAAAUCUCCCGGCUCAACUGGGAGCGGUCGUGCGAUACUGGUCGGCUCGAGGCCGGUAGGGGGGAGUGGAAUUCCGGGUGUAGUGGUGGAAUGCGUAGAUAUCGGGAGGAACACCAGUAGCGAAGGCGGCUCGCUGGGCCGUUCCUGACGCUGAGACGCGAAAGCUAGGGGAGCGAACAGG
rnacentral:rRNA from 1 species